rnacentral:rRNA from 1 species
AUGGCAGCUAGCACGGGCCGGAGUGUCACGUUAAACUGGGGUGUGCUGCGGCUGCCAAGGGUCCAAGCCGCUGGUUUGGACAACCCCUUCACCGAAGAUGAAGUUUGGGCAGCAAUUUUGCAGUCGCCGGCAGAAAAAGCUCCGGGGCCUGACGACUUCAUUGGCAGAUUCUUCAGAGCCUGCUGGCCGAUCAUCAAGGAUGACAUUAUGGCGGCGUUCCACCGCUUCUACAGCCUCGCGGGGGGGAAUUUAGUUGCGCUGAACACGGUGUUUGUGGCGCUGCUUCCAAAGAAAGAGGGUGCCGCGAGAAUAAACGACUUUCGGCCGAUCAGUUCGAUACAUUCUUUUGCCAAGUUGGUGACCAAGGUUCUGUCAAUCAGACUGACAAAAGUGAUCCACACAAUUGUUUCACCAGUGCAAUCUGCCUUCAUGAAGAAGAAGUGCAUCCAGGAUAGUUUUCUAUACGUGCAAAAUGGAGUACGAGCGUUGCACAGAAGCAGAACACCGUCGCUGCUGUUGAAGGUGGAUAUA